rnacentral:rRNA from 1 species
CCUACGGGAGGCAGCAGUGGGGAAUAUUGCACAAUGGGGGAAACCCUGAUGCAGCGACGCCGCGUGAGUGAAGAAGUAUUUCGGUAUGUAAAGCUCUAUCAGCAGGGAAGAAAAUGACGGUACCUGAUUAAGAAUCCCCGGCUAAACACGUGCCAGCAGCCGCGGUAAUACGGGGGAUGCAAGCGUUAUCCGGAUUUAUCGGGUUUAAAGGGUGCGUAGGCUGUGAGGUAAGUCAGCGGUGAAAUGCUACCGUUCAACGGGGUGAAGUGCCAUUGAUACUGCCUUGCUGGAAUGCGGAUGCGGUGGGAGGAAUGUGUGGUGUAGCGGUGAAAUGCAUAGAUAUCACACAGAACACCGAUUGCGAAGGCAUCUCACGAAUCCGCGAUUGACGCUGAUGCACGAAAGCGUGGGUAUCAAACAGGAUUAGAUACCCUUGUAGUC